AUUGAACGCUGGCGGCAGGCCUAACACAUGCAAGUCGAACGGUAACAGGAAGAAGCUUGCUUCUUUGCUGACGAGUGGCGGACGGGUGAGUAAUGUCUGGGAAACUGCCUGAUGGAGGGGGAUAACUACUGGAAACGGUAGCUAAUACCGCAUAACGUCGCAAGACCAAAAAGGGGGACCUUCGGGCCUCUUGCCAUCGGAUGUGCCCAGAUGGGAUUAGCUAGUAGGUGGGGUAACGGCUCACCUAGGCGACGAUCCCUAGCUGGUCUGAGAGGAUGACCAGCCACACUGGAACUGAGACACGGUCCAGACUCCUACGGGAGGCAGCAGUGGCGAAUAUUGCACAAUGGGCGCAAGCCUGAUGCAGCCAUGCCGCGUGUAUGAAGAAGGCCUUCGGGUUGUAAAGUACUUUCAGCGGGGAGGAAGGGAGUAAAGUUAAUACCUUUGCUCAUUGACGUUACCCGCAGAAGAAGCACCGGCUAACUCCGUG
rnacentral:rRNA from 1 species